rnacentral:rRNA from 1 species
GAACGCUAGCGGCAGGCUUAACACAUGCAAGUCGAGGGGUAUAGGGAGCUUGCUUCCUAGAGACCGGCGCACGGGUGCGUAACGCGUAUGCAAUCUACCUUUGCAGAGGGAUAGCCCAGAGAAAUUUGGAUUAAUACCUCAUAGUAUGUGAGAAUGGCAUCAUUUUCACAUUAAAGUCACAACGGCAAAAGAUGAGCAUGCGUCCCAUUAGCUUGUUGGUAAGGUAACGGCUUACCAAGGCAACGAUGGGUAGGGGUUCUGAGAGGGAGAUCCCCCACACUGGUACUGAGACACGGACCAGACUCCUACGGGAGGCAGCAGUGAGGAAUAUUGGACAAUGGGCGCAAGCCUGAUCCAGCCAUGCCGCGUGCAGGAUGACGGUCCUAUAGAUUGUAAACUGCUUUUAUACAGGAAGAAACACUCCGACGUGUCGGAGCUUGACGGUACUGUAAGAAUAAGGAUCGGCUAACUCCGUG